GAUGAACGCUAGCGGCAGGCUUAACACAUGCAAGUCGAACGGUAAGUUAAAAGCUUGCUUUUAACACGAGUGGCGCACGGGUGCGUAACGCGUAUGCAAUCUACCCUUUACUAGAGAAUAGCCCUUAGAAAUGAGGAAUAAUACUCCAUGGUAUCACGAAUUCGCAUGUUUUUGUGAUUAAAGCUUCGGCGGUAAAGGAUGAGCAUGCGUCCCAUUAGUUUGUUGGUGAGGUAAUGGCUCACCAAGACUACGAUGGGUAGGGGGCCUGAGAGGGUUAUCCCCCACACUGGUACUGAGACACGGACCAG
rnacentral:rRNA from 1 species